rnacentral:rRNA from 1 species
AGCAGUAGCCGCGGUAAUACGUAGGGUGCAAGCGUUAAUCGGAAUUACUGGGCGUAAAGCGUGCGCAGGCGGUUCGCUAAGACAGAUGUGAAAUCCCCGGGCUUAACCUGGGAACUGCAUUUGUGACUGGCGGGCUAGAGUAUGGCAGAGGGGGGUAGAAUUCCACGUGUAGCAGUGAAAUGCGUAGAGAUGUGGAGGAAUACCGAUGGCGAAGGCAGCCCCCUGGGCCAAUACUGACGCUCAUGCACGAAAGCGUGGGGAGCAAACAGGAUUAGAUACCCCGGUAGUCCCUGUCUCUUAUAC